rnacentral:tRNA from 1 species
GAGGAUAUAGCUCAGUGGUAGAGCAAUGUGCUUAGCACGCACGAGGUCCUGGGUUCAAUCCCUAGUACCUCCA